rnacentral:rRNA from 1 species
AGUGAACGCUGGCGGUAGGCCUAACACAUGCAAGUCGAACGGCAGCACAGGAGAGCUUGCUCUCUGGGUGGCGAGUGGCGGACGGGUGAGGAACACAUCGGAAUCUACUCUGUCGUGGGGGAUAACGUAGGGAAACUUACGCUAAUACCGCAUACGACCUACGGGUGAAAGCAGGGGACCUUCGGGCCUUGCGCGAUUGAAUGAGCCGAUGUCGGAUUAGCUAGUUGGCGGGGUAAAGGCCCACCAAGGCGACGAUCCGUAGCUGGUCUGAGAGGAUGAUCAGCCACACUGGAACUGAGACACGGUACAGACUCCUACGGGAGGCAGCAGUGGGGAAUAUUGGACAAUGGGCGCAAGCCUGAUCCAGCCAUACCGCGUGGGGGAAGAAGGCCUUCGGGUUGUAAAGCCCUUUUGUUGGGAAAGAAAUCCAGCUGGCUAAUACCCGGUUGGGAUGACGGUACCCAAAGAAUAAGCACCGGCUAACUUCGUGCCAGCCGCCGCAGUAA